GCUAUCGGAUUGAGAUUUAGCCAUGCGAGUCGAACGUUCCCCUGUUGCGGGGGGCGUGGCGUACGGCUCAGUAACACGUAGUCAACCUGCCCUGGAGACCAGGAUAACCCCGGGAAACUGGGAUUAAUACUGGAUAGGUCAUCUCAUCUGGAAGGAGAGAUGGCUUAAAGGGGUGUGUGAGCUUCUUUCAUACAKCUGCUCCAGGAUGGGACUGCGACUGAUCAGGCUGUUGACGGGGUAAUGGCCCACCAAACCAGUAACCAGUACGGGCCUUGAGAGAGGGGGCCCGGAGAUGGACACUGAGAGAAGGGUCCGGGUCCUACGGGGCGCAGCAGGCGCGAAACCUUCGCAAUGCGCGAAAGCGUGACGAGGUUAAUCCGAGUGGUUCCCGCUGAGGGAAUCUUUUGUCGGCUCUAAAAAGGCCGGCGAAUAAGGGGAGGGCAAGUCUGGUGUCAGCCGCCGCGGUAAUACCAGCUCCUCGAGUGGUCGGGGCGAUUAUUGGGCCUAAAGCAUCCGUAGCCGGUUCUGUAGGUCCUCUGUUAAAUCCAACGGCUUAACCGUUGGCCCGCAGAGGAUACCGCAGGACUAGGAGGCGGGAGAGGCAGACGGUACUCUACGUGUAGGGGUAAAAUCCUUUGACCCGUAGAAGACCACCAGUGGCGAAGGCGGUCUGCCAGAGCGCGCUCGACGGUGAGGGAUGAAAGCUGGGGGAGCGAACCGGAUUAGAUACCCGGGUAGUCCCAGCCGUAAACCGAUGCGAGCUAGAUGAAUUCGGUCGCAAAAUCGCGAUCAAAGUGUCGCAAGGGGAAAGCCC
rnacentral:rRNA from 1 species